GAUGAAGAACGUAGCGAAAUGCGAUAAGUAGUGUGAAUUGCAGAAUUCAGUGAAUCAUCGAAUCUUUGAACGCACAUUGCGCCCUUUGGUAUUCCUUAGGGCAUGCCUGUUCGAGCGUCAUUUCAACCCUCAAGCCCUGCUUGGUGUUGGGCGUUUGUCCUGCCUCCGCUCGGGACUCGCCUCAAAGACAUUGGCGGCCGGUUUCCCUUUGCAGGCCACGAGCGCAGCACAGCGAGCGCUCUACGUGGACGCGGGGUCGGCGCACCAGAAGCCCUCUUUCUCGAAUUUUGACCUCGGAUCAGGUAGGGAUACCCGCUGAACUUAAGCAUAUCAAUAAGCGGAGGA
rnacentral:misc_RNA from 1 species